CUACGGGUUGCUGCAGUGAGGAAUUUUGCGCAAUGGGGGAAACCCUGACGCAGCGACGCCGCGUGGAGGAAGAAGGCCUUCGGGUUGUAAACUCCUUUUAUAGGGGAAGAUAAUGACGGUACCCUAUGAAUAAGCCACGGCUAACUCUGUGCCAGCAGCCGCGGUAAAACAGAGGUUGCGAGCGUUGCUCGGAAUCACUGGGCUUAAAGGGCGCGUAGGCGGUUAAUCAAGUCUGAGGUGGAAUCCCUAGGCUUAACCUAGGAACUGCCUCAAAAACUGAUUAACUUGAGUAAGCGAGGGGAUGGCGGAAUUCCUGGUGUAGCGGUGAAAUGCGUAGAUAUCAGGAGGAAGGCCUGUGGCGAAGGCGGCCAUCUGGUGCUUAACUGACGCUGAGGCGCGAAAGCGUGGGGAGCAAACAGGAUUAGAUACCCCAGUAGUC
rnacentral:rRNA from 1 species